AUAUCUCUCUGUACGGGAAGGAUGAGAAGCUUCGACUAAGGUUCGAUUCGAGCGCAGCGAGAAAGCGUUGCCGCAGGCAACGACCCGAAGGGCGAAGCGCGUAGCGCUGAGUCAUCCUUCUCCCACCACCA
rnacentral:sRNA from 2 species